GCCGGGCGUGGUGGCGCAUGCCUGUAGUCCCAGCUACUCGGGAGGCUGAGACAGGAGGAUCACUUGAGUCCAGGAGUUCUGGGCUGUAGUGCGCUAUGCCGAUCAGGUGUCCGCACUAAGUUCUUCGGCAUCAAUAUGGUGACCUCCCGGGAGCGGGGGACCACCAGGUUGCCUAAGGAGGGGUGAACCGGCCCUGGUCAGAAACGGAGCAGGUCAAAACUCCCGUGCUGAUCAGUAGUGGGAUCGCGCCUGUGAAUAGCCACUGCACUCCAGCCUGGGCAACAUAGCGAGAACCCGUCUCU
rnacentral:SRP_RNA from 1 species